rnacentral:rRNA from 1 species
ACGGGGUGCAGUAGGCGCGAAACCUCCGCAAUGUGAGAAAUCGCGACGGGGGGAUCCCAAGUGCCAUUCUUAACGGGAUGGCUUUUCUUUAGUGUAAAAAGCUUUUGGAAUAAGAGCUGGGCAAGACCGGUGCCAGCCGCCGAGGUAAAUC